AAGUCGUCACAAGGUUUCCGUAGGUGAACCUGCGGAAGGAUCAUUAACACGUAUCCGAACGUUAAAACCCCCCCCCCGUGAACCUUUAUGAGUGCGCCCUUGUGGGUACACAGGCACAUUAUUGAUUCAAUGACUACGAUUGGCUGCAAGAAAUGCGAGCUCGAAGCAACAGCGGUAAAGCAAUAACUUGUCUGAAAGUGUCAUUUAUUGUGUAAGCCGGCGCUUAAGCGUGCGACUGGAGACCAUCACGGCCAGUGCCUGUUCCGGAUCCUCGUGGUCCCCUACCACAUAAAUUACGACGUCAGUGGUGCGAGGGCCAAGUGGCCUGCCGCACCGAACGCACAACUGUUAACAAUGGAUAUCUUGGUUCUC
rnacentral:misc_RNA from 1 species